AGAGUUUGAUCAUGGCUCAGGAUGUACGCUGGCGGCGUGCCUAACACAUGCAAGUCGAGCGAACCCUUCGGGGUGAGCGGCGGACGGGUGAGUAACGCGUGGGUAACCUGCCCUGUACACACGGAUAACAUACCGAAAGGUAUGCUAAUACGAGAUAAUAUGUUUUAAUCGCAUGAUUAAGAUAUCAAAGCUCCGGCGGUACAGGAUGGACCCGCGUCUGAUUAGCUAGUUGGUGAGGUAAUGGCUCACCAAGGCGACGAUCAGUAGCCGACCUGAGAGGGUGAUCGGCCACACUGGAACUGAGACACGGUCCAGACUCCUACGGGAGGCAGCAGUGGGGAAUAUUGCACAAUGGGCGAAAGCCUGAUGCAGCAACGCCGCGUGAGCGAUGAAGGCCUUCGGGUCGUAAAGCUCUGUCCUCAAGGAAGAUAAUGACGGUACUUGAGGAGGAAGCCCCGGCUAACUACGUGCCAGCAGCCGCGGUAAUACGUAGGGGGCUAGCGUUAUCCGGAAUUACUGGGCGUAAAGGGUGCGUAGGCGGUCUUUCAAGCCAGAAGUGAAAGGCUACGGCUCAACCGUAGUAAGCUUUUGGAACUGUAAGACUUGAGUGCAGGAGAGGAGAGUGGAAUUCCUAGUGUAGCGGUGAAAUGCGUAGAUAUUAGGAGGAACACCAGUAGCGAAGGCGGCUCUCUGGACUGUAACUGACGCUGAGGCACGAAAGCGUGGGGAGCAAACAGGAUUAGAUACCCUGGUAGUCCACGCCGUAAGCGAUGAGUACUAGGUGUCGGGGGUUACCCCCCUCGGUGCCGCAGCUAACGCAUUAAGUACUCCGCCUGGGAAGUACGCUCGCAAGAGUGAAACUCAAAGGAAUUGACGG
rnacentral:rRNA from 1 species